rnacentral:rRNA from 1 species
AGAGUUUGAUCCUGGCUCAGGAUGAACGCUGGCGGCGUGCCUAAUACAUGCAAGUCGAGCGGUAAGGCCUCUUCGGAGGUACACGAGCGGCGGACGGCUGAGUAACACGUAGGAACGUACCCCAAACUGAGGGAUAAGCACCAGAAAUGGUGUCUAAUACCGCAUGUGCUCUUCGGAGUAAAGCUACGGCGGUUUGGGAACGGCCUGCGUCCGAUUAGCUUGUUGGUGAGGUAAUGGCUCACCAAGGCGACGAUCGGUAGCUGGUCUGAGAGGAUGAUCAGCCAGACUGGGACUGAGAACGGCCCAGACUCCUACGGGAGGCAGCAGUAGGGAAUUUUCCACAAUGGGCGAAAGCCUGAUGGAGCAACGCCGCGUGCAGGAUGAAUGCCUUAGGGUUGUAAACUGCUUUUAUCUGUGACGAAUAUGACGGUAGCAGAUGAAUAAGGAUCGGCUAACUCCGUGCCAGCAGCCGCGGUCAUACGGAGGAUCCAAGCGUUAUCCGGAAUUACUGGGCGUAAAGAGUUGCGUAGGUGGCAUUGUAUGUCGGUAGUGAAAUCGUGUGGCUCAACCAUAUAAACAUUAUCGAAACUGCAAAGCUAGAGGACGAGAGAGGUUAUUGGAAUUCCCAGUGUAGGAGUGAAAUCCGUAGAUAUUGGGAGGAACACCGAUGGCGUAGGCAGAUAACUGGCUCGUUCCUGACACUAAGGCACGAAAGCGUGGGUAGCAAACGGGAUUAGAUACCCCCGUAGUCC